rnacentral:rRNA from 1 species
GACGAACGCUGGCGGCGUGCUUAACACAUGCAAGUCGAGCGGUAAGGCCCUUUCGGGGGUACACGAGCGGCGAACGGGUGAGUAACACGUGGGUGACCUGCCCUCAGCUCUGGGAUAAGCCUGGGAAACUGGGUCUAAUACCGGAUAUGACUCCAUGACGCAUGUUGUGGGGUGGAAAGCCUUGUGCGGCUGAGGAUGGGCCCGCGGCCUAUCAGCUUGUUGGUGGGGUGANGGCCUACCAAGGCGACGACGGGUAGCCGGCCUGAGAGGGCGACCGGCCACGACUGGGACUGAGACACGGCCCAGACUCCUACGGGAGGCAGCAGUGGGGAAUCUUGCGCAAUGGGCGAAAGCCUGACGCAGCGACGCCGCGUGAGGGAUGACGGCCU